rnacentral:rRNA from 3 species
GGACUACCAGGGUUUCUAAUCCCGUUUGCUCCCCUAGCUUUCGCGCCUCAGCGUCAGAAGAGGUCCAGCACGUCGCUUUCGCCACCGGCGUUCCUUCCGAUAUCUACGCAUUUCACCGCUCCACCGGAAGUUCCACAUGCCCCUACCUCCCUCGAGACGAUCAGUAUCAAAGGCACUUUUCCAGUUGAGCUGAAAGAUUUCACCCCUGACUUGACCGUCCGCCUACGCGCCCUUUAAGCCCAGUGAAUCCGAACAACGUUCGCACGGUUCGUCUUACCGCGGCUGCUGGCAC